CGACUACUGACAGUCACCAACCCAUGCCGGUUUAGGUGCAGUUGUGUGUGGUGUUCUGUGUCGUGUUUCAUUUUACAUGUGUAAUCCAUGAUUCCAUUAGUGGGCUAAGAGUGAGUGCAGGCUUUGGCUGGUGCACAUCAAGAGCAGAGUAAGACGAAUUGAAGCAGAGACGACCAGGGUCUGAGGCACCAGCAGGGCCAGGCAGGCCACCUUGUGUGGAUGGAAUGCAAGAGGGCUUCCCAGGUGCUUCAGAUGGAUGCCUAGACUUGUGGAGAAGGGCAGAGGCCAGCUGCAUGAGAUAUCGGCCUCCCAUCAGGGUGACCCAGCCAUGCGCAAGUACCAGCAGUUGGCCCUCACCAUCAUAGCAGUGGUGAGCCUGGUGGCUUUCCUCUUCUACAAGCAUGAAUAUGAACGGUUGCGCUACACCCUGGAGUACCUGGAUACCUUUGGGCAGCCUCCAGCAGAGGGAGAAGCACCACGGCUACCAUGUGGCUACAAUACCCACCCCAUGGCCACCUCACCUCCAGCAGACUGGGUGCAGGUCACUUCUGACUUGGAGGUGUACUCAGCCUUUCUGGAGGGCGAGGGUAUUGUGGGAGGACAGCAGAUCAGAGUUAUUGGAGCUGUAAGGAAAAGCACUGAGGUGCCAGCUGACUUGACUUGCCUUAUCUGGUUUGAGUCCAAUGGAGAGGUGGCAACAGGGUCCUGCAGUGUGCAAUUCCCCUCAGAUCGGAGUCACAGCCACCACACAGACAAGGAGGAUGUAGAGGUGCUGUACCUCCUGUGUGGUCCAACAGAGACACGGCUUAUGCUUACUCAGACCCCUUAUGCCCUUCAGGUGAGAGUGGGGACUGAGAAGCCCUCCCAGCCCCUCCUGGUGCACGAAGCAGAGGGCCUCAAGAGCACAGCCAACAGAACAGCAGUGUGUGUGGUUCCUCCAGAGCAACCUGUCACUUCUUUGCAUCUAGUGGAAUUCAUAGCUUACCACCAUCUCAUAGGGGCAGACCGCUUCACACUGUAUGGGCCAGUGCUCACUCCUCUGGCUCGGCGGCUGCUGGACCGCUUUGGGGAUGAAAUGGGGCUGGGGCAUCAGGAGCUGCUCUUCAGCACAUCACGGGGCUUUGAACUGAGUCGGCCCGUGGUGCGGCGUGUGGUGGAGUUGGACUGUCUGCAGCGCCACCGUGACCGCCAUGAGAACGUAUUGGUGCUGGAGUUGGAUGAAUUUGUAGUGCUAGGCCGCCGCCCCACCCUGCAGGCCACCAUUAUUGACCUGGAAGGCGCUGGUCGUUCACGCCGGGAAGUGGCAGAAUUCCACCUGAGCUCCCAGCCAGUGUGCCUGGAUCAGCAGCAUGCACGGCGUGGCACUCUGAUGUUGGCACAUCAGGUACAUACUUCUGGACCCAUGGAGGAGGCAGGUGUGGCCUUGCUGCGCCCCCAGCUUUUGGGUGGCUCUGCAUCUGCUGAGAGCAAUACCAAGAGUCAGCAUGUGCCACCUGGUGUGGCUGUGGUUCAUCAUUAUUCUACCUGCUCUGCUGCUGUUGCUGCCACCCAUGAGGAGAUCCACCACUUGCCUUCCAACAAACAAAUAGUAGCUAGACUAAAGGAGUCACUACUUUACAGGAAGUGGACCAUCAACUCAUAGCUUUUGUGACAAACAAUUUUUGUGUUAGCAGUUGUGCUGUGAUGAAAGUUUGCAUUAUCCUUACAUGAGGAACUGAACUAAAUGCUUUACAUAUGAGCACUGAUACAUGUACGAGUAUGUAGCUCACAUAUGUUGAGCAACUACAGCUUGGCCCUUAUAUUAUAAAAGUAUUUAAAAGGAUCUGAGACCAUUGUGGUCAUGCUUCUCUCAUGGUAACAUCUCAUUAUCCUCGUUGUGUGGAUGCUAAGCUGUAGUGGUGCUGUGCUGCUGUACUUCACAUCUAAGGGGAACCUUGUUAUAUGCAGACAUUAAUUAUUGAAAUCCUGACUCAAUGAUUGUUUGCAUUAAUUUACAUUGUUGGACACACUUCGAGAAUGUGUGUUUUGUGUUUUUAUUUUUAUUAUUUUUUUAUUUUAAUAUGACACUGAAUAUAACUUUUAUUGCAAACAGUUGGUCUCCUUAAUAGCUUUUAGCUUAUCCAUUCUGCUUAAUCUCUUGUUAUACAUUGUGACUGGAGGAGGCAUAAUUGUGCAUACCUGUGUGGUGUACGUUAUCACAUGGCUUGGGUCUUUUAUGAAGUGGAUAAUAGUAUGUACUGUAACAGUAUGUUAUUGUGUACUGCAAUAAUAUUCUAUGUCACUGUCAGCAUAUACACAUCAUGUGAUGCAGAAAAGCUCAAGAUGUUCUUUUAUCACUCUCCUCUGGUACAUUCCUCCUUAUAUUUUGUGUCUUCUUAUCUGAAAAAAGCAUUGUAAUAGUUGUAUCUUAUUGUAUACUAGUUAUCAUACCUUGCAUCUUUGUAUUCAUUGUAUAAUGGAACUUUUUUUAUACAUAUUUUUAUCUAUCUCUGGUGCCUCAUUCUCUGGGAGGAGUGGCAAAAGAACCUCCAACUCUCCCUAUCCAGGCAUUCCCCCUCUUGCUUAUUUUAGCACUUGGCUUCUACUAACACCUCUUUCACACAUUAACUCAUUUACCUUGUCCUUUAAUCUUCAAGUAACCUUACUCUCCUAUUACCUUCAGCUUUGUUCACAUAGUCCUUACAAACUGCUCUUCAUCUUCUCAGUGUAGCUAUGCCAUCUCAGUGUAUUCCUUUUUCACCUAUUCCACCACUCAAUAACUUACACCUCUACAUCACUUACACAGGUGGCUUAUACUGCAUUUUCUUAUACAUUUUCAUUGUUCUCACCCUCCCACUUUGUCACUAUUAGACAACUCAUUUCCACAGAAGACACUCUUGAUUGUUGUGUCCUAUUCCACAUCCAGGUCUGAUUAAUAUGUCAAUGUUUGCAGAAUACUCUUCUUGAAAACUCACUCUAUAUCUGAUGCAUUUUUUCAUUCAUAACUCUUGCAAGUGACCUUAUGACACAUUUACAUUUCACAACUCGCUUUGUUUAAAUUUUUGGAGGCAUGCUUCUUGAACGCCACCAUACAUUAUUCAGGUAUUUAUUGCACAUGUGUAUUUGAGUCAAACUCUGAUGAUUGUCCCCAGGGAUUCAUAUUUCAGCAGUUUAUUUAUACCUUGAUCUUUUUCACAUUAUGAUUAAGCCACUUGAAUGAGGAUAUCAGACCAGCCUUUCAUCUGAUUUGUGAAUAAUCGCUCAUUGAUUUUGGUGGUAGUAUUUUUAAGUAGUAGUCGGUUUUAUUAGUGGUUAAUGGAUGAGUUUAUUUAACAUCUUAACAUUUAGAUAGUAUGUUCAAGUGCAAGUGUGUGUGACAAUCUAUUUACAAGACUAAGAACACAAUUAUCAUAGAUAUGAAAUUAGAAAGAAUUGUGUGAUUUGAGUUCUGCCUUGCAGAGGGAAUUAUGUCAUGACAGGUUGUAGACUGGCAAUGUUUGAGUUGUGUCAAAAGAAUAUAUCAUUGAGAAUAAGACUAUAGGAAAUAUAUAAGCAGUAUCCCUUUUUUUUUUUUUUUUUUUUUUUUUUUUUUCAGUAUGCUUCAAAGUCAUUGUACUGUAAUUUCUGUAUUAGUCAUAUCACCUGAAGAUUUUAUUGCUUAAAUUGUUUAGUUUAAGGUUAAGAUUGUACUUUUAUUUUAUUUUACUUCAUUCAGACCACCUCUGUAAUGCUCCGGUCUUCCCGGAUUUGCACAUUUCUCACAUUCCUGUGUAUGCACAAAGAUCAUGGUCACAAUAGAUGUUUCCCUCCCCUGCACCAUAAUUUUGAAAAUAAUUUUGCAUGCAGUGAGAGACAAGUCAGUUCCUUUAAAUGUUGGAUUCACUUCUUAACUUUGGCAUUCUUAACCUAUGUAUAUGAAAAUGGAGCUCCUGAUGAUGAUGACAAUAAUUGAUGAAGAAUGAAUUUUUAGUGCAAGGUUUCUUUCAAGCAGAUGAAUCAGCAAAAACACCAAGCCAGAACAGAUAUCAUUGCCAUAGAAUAGAUGAAAAUAAUAAUACUAAGGUGAAAUCAUAAAGCUUCCAGACUCUUUUGAAGAACCAUUACGGACUUCCUUGCACAAAGAUUCCAAUGAGUGUUGUUCCCUCACAUUGAGUUAUGCAAUGGACCAUCACUUUUUCCACUGCUGGAGAUGUAUAUCUCUCAAUCUUAAUUCUCAAGAUGAUGUACUGCACAUGGUAUUAUUUUGUCUGAGUCUCAUUAAUGUCUGUCACUCCUUUAGUGCAAAUCAGUAUGCUGUCAUAUUCAGUAUUUGAAAAAAGUAUGGGUUGCCUGGCCUGUGGUACAUACUGUCUCUAGUUCCAGGGGUGCUUCCAGCUGUGGGAAAAUUGAAAAAUCCACUUUACCAUUUCUCAAAGAAACUUUCAAAGAGGACAGCAAUAAUUGGUCCCAAGUACUCAUUAUUGAAGUUUCCUGGCUGAGGGGGCUGACAAACUGACAGUAUGAAGUGCUUCCUCAACCUAGAUGUGGUACAGAAUGCACCAAUACAGUCUGCCUACAUCACACCAGCAAGGAGUAAUUUCUGAAGGAGACAACCCAGUUGUUUGGGUGUUGAAGGAGAACAGUAAGGGUUACCUGAGGGUAUGGUCAAGGCCAGUGCCACGCUUCUCUUCAGUGCGAGUGACUGCCCGCGUCACGUGAGGAAGGGCUUCCAGGAGCAGUGGUCUAUGGAGCACAGCAACCACUCGUAGUACCCGGAACAGCCGCCCAGAGCUCCAGGACAUGUGCCUUCCUACCAGCUCCCGUAGCUGGUCUACCAGAACCCUCCUGGAUGGUACCCCUUGGUCUUCUGCUUCCUGCAGCACCUUCUGAAGGAGAUCUGUGGCCAGCCUCUUGGUAGUUUGCUCUUCUAGUGUCAAGAGGAGCUCCAGUAGAGGAAGUAAUAAGGAACAGGACAAUAUUUCCAGCCAAUCCAUUGUAUUCCGCUGCAACAAUUCAGUCAAGAGAGAUAGGGCCACCUGCAGGUGCAGAGGCGAGAUAUUGCGGCGUGCCAGAUAAUUGUCACGCACCACCUCUAAGAACACCUUGCGCAGUUCCUCUAGCACUGGCAGUCUCACCUCCCCAUGGAGGGUUGCCAGAAAGGGGUGGAAUGUUGUGGUGUAGUUGCGUAUGGUUUUGACUGGGAAACGGUGGAGGUAGUGGGUGAAGAUGUCCCUCACACAGCGUAAUAGGUAAGCAUCCUGUGUCAGUCCAAGGCAUCCAAUUCCACACACCAUCUGUCAUGAUGUAGCUCUGUUAUUCCUGCACUUUUUUACUCCUGUCCAAAGCAAACUAAUAUUUUUGUACUGUAACCAAUGCUGCACUAUUUGGCAGCUGUCAACUGUGAACCAGUGAUCCAUUUUAAUUAUGCAAAUUCAUUAUGCAAUAUAUUUAUCUACAGUGAUCAGGAUUUUCCCCCUCCACAUCUUACUGUCUUUUGAAAUUAAAAAUACAAUGAUGAUUCUCAGUUCUAUACCUGAAAACUGCCAUCACUGUAAAUCUUUAUCAAGAUCUGCUAAUAAACUAGCAACACAUUACUUGUAUGAAAGUUUAUGCUGGAACCUACUGGAAUUUGUAAAAUAUUUGUUGAAUAUGUCUGUCUGGAAAGUGUUUUUGGAUAAUACAAUAUUGUGUAUCA